GCCCUGCACUGAUGUCCCAGCCUGAACUAGCACCUUCUUCACUUUCUUCUUUUUAUUCUUCUUCCCUUUCUCAAAGGGUCGAGAACCAGAAGACGAACCUCCCACUAAAUUCACCGACUCCUUGUGGAGUUGGUGAUCCUUCUCAAAGUUCUGAAGCAACCCCAGUAACCCAUGGUAGUUUACUUUAGGCUUUAUCAUUCUAUAAUGAGUGAGGAAUGGGAGAUAAGACUUGGGCAGCGAGUUCAGUAUUGCAUCUUUCCCAAGCUGCUCAUGCAAGGGAAAGCCGAGCUUGCUCAAACGCUCCAUCAGCUCGAUCAUGUAUAAUACAUG
rnacentral:lncRNA from 1 species